GUCAAUUUGGAGCAAUGCAGGUAAUAUUUUGAGCUAUAUGCUGGUUAGAUUUGGAGCAUUACAGGUAAGAUUUGGAGCUACGCAGUUAAGCUUCGGAAGUUUAAGGCAGAUUGGGUUUAGAAAUAGGCAGGUAAAAUUUGGAAUCAGGUAAUUUGGGAGGUCGUGAAAUGGAGGGAUACAUGUGUGCUGUGUGUGGAUCAGCCUAAGAUUGAGGGAGGAAGGUGAUAACACUGAUGCAUGAAGUAAUGAUUAGCCACACAGGUGUAACCAGACACCCAUACAGGUGAACUACAGAUAACGUAACCAGUGCAAGGCUAUCUCCAGAUGUGACUGAUAAAGAGUAAGACGGAAUAUAAGUUGAGUGCAGUAAUGAAUUUGUAUAGAAUCAGAAUGGUCUAACCCUUCACAUUCCAAUCCCACACAAACUCAGGCUGUCAGGCUUAUAUUGAAACCUAAUCAUUAAAAGGUUAUUAGCUAGAUUUAUUGAGAGAAAAAAUAAAUGCAACAAAAUUAUGUAGUUUCUUAGAACUAUAUAGUACUGA